rnacentral:lncRNA from 1 species
AUCGGGUUUGGAUUGAGUGGAAUAGGCCCAGUGGGCAGGGGAUAUGCUAAGUGGGCCUUAUCAGCUGAAAUUGACCAAAGGGUUGAGUUUGUAGGUAAGAUCAAUUGAACUGUAUAAAUAAAUUCUAAAAAUUUAAAAUGGUCUAACUGACUAGGGUUUUCUUAGGGUAAUACUGAGUUGGUACCUAGUCAUAUGUAUGCACCCAAAACCCUAAAUUCGUUUACCUGUUAUCACAAAAGAGUUGUUGUUACCC